GUAAGGUCUAGAGAUACGAUAAUGGAUCUGAUAGGUAAGGUCUAGAGAUACGAUAACAGAUCUGAUAGGUAAGGUCUAGAGAUACGAUAACAGAUCUGAUAGGUAAGGUCUAGAGAUACGAUAAUGGAUUUGAUAGGUAAGGUCUAGAGAUACGAUAACAGAUCUGAUAGGUAAGGUCUAGAGAUACGAUAACAGAUCUGAUAGGUAAGGUCUAGAGAUGUGAUAACAGAUCUGAUAGGUUAUAAAGGACUAGACUAGAGGUAAUUGGAAAUUGAACUGGAGUCCCAAUAAUCUAGCCACCGUCAUUGCCAGCAAAAGUAUUAAGCUGGAUUGUAUCAAUAGUAUAAUUUGAGAUGGCUGGACAGUUUUCUAUAGAUAAAGGCCAAUCUUGUCUCCUAAAAAUGGACAACCAGAUUAGUGGUGGCUGGAUAAACAGUUGACUGUUCACUGUAUCUCAUAGUAAGGUCAAUAUCCUUGUUUUAUCUCGGAUCUGGAGUCGGUAGUCUAGAACGUGCACAAUAACAGUGCUAUAGAGAUUGAGGAAUAUUACUAGUCAAAAUAGUCAGGUUUUGCUUUCUCAGUUUCUUCAGGUCUUGUAUAAGAAAUGGGAUUGUGUUGAAAAUUUUAAAAUUGUUAUUCUCAUAAUACUUCCGUCACUUAUUAUUUUUUUUACCGAUAUUUGCCAGACUUGCGUGGUACUUUCUGACUUUUGUUAGUUCACUCAGUAAUUACUAUCAAUAUUAUUGAGAAUAACUCAAUUCUUUCGUAUAAAAUAAUGUAACACUCUUUCCACCUUAUGAUAGAAAUGAGUCUCAGAUCUGUUUUGAAUAAGUUAUAAGGUCAAAUCAUAAUUUUCCUUUAGAUAUUUGUAAUGAGGAUGUACAUAUAACCAUUUAUUGUUUGGUACAAUCUUUUAAGUUGUGAAAGAUAGAGUGAUAAGAUUUAAGAUAACUGCUAUAAAAAUAGCAGAUUUACGGUAGCUUGCUUGUUGACUUAUUAUUAUAUGGGCAUCAAGCUCAAAUUUACAAUUAUAACGUGUUUAUGAUAUUAAACUACAAUAAUGUAGCCAGGAUUAAGAUUAAUGACAACUUCACAAUAUGCAUUUAUGUUUUCCUGGUCAUCAAUAUGUUUGGAGUCUAUUACAUGAGAUCUUGUAGAUCUGGACUCAUAUUCAUGAAACUGCUCUCAUGCUCAAACUCAGACUCUGUGCUCAAGACCAAUUUCUUGUUCCGGUGAUAAAUUAUAAAACAAAAAAAAUGUAAUUUUGAAAAAUUAUGGGGACACUUUGAAGCCAAAUUGUCUUUACAGUGUUGACACCUGACUGACCGAGUCACAUGAUUUUAGUAUAAGUUACAAGUAGGUUGGUUUUAGCACAGAAUCCAUGCUUGAGCAUGAAAAUGGAUUCACGAAUUCAGGCCCUGGUCACCCACCAAACUAGAACUACUGUUAGAGACCAAGGAAAAAAAGCAAAAAUACAGAAUUUUGAGAUCUUAAUACAUUCUGAUUAAAAUUAAAACGCCAGUAAAGUUUGAAAGCUAAAACCAAAGAUGUGUAAGUUAUUGACGUGACAUUCAAAACAUAGUUGAGGAAUGAUCAAUGAGGAUUCACAGUUUUAACUAGUUUCCAAAACUAUUGUACCAUGUAGUUAUAAGUUAGAUGAUUUUAUGUACAGUACUGAAUGUAGAUAGAAGGGAUAAAGAACCAGUAGUAUAUAAUAAUUUAUUAUAGGGAUUUUUGUUGUGAUACUCACAAAUGAUCUUAUUUGGAUUAACUGUAAAUUAUUAAAUUGUAUUUAAUUAAAUCCAUUAUAUAUAUAUAUAUAUUUUUUAAAUGUUAUCUGGUAAGUAAUUACAUUGAAAGCACAAGGUACAGAAAGCAUAAAUUGUUCGUAUUGGGAAGUACAAACAUUUUACUGUAUUUCCUAUCAAUAUUAAUUACCGGUACAUGUUGACGAGUUUAAACAUUGUUGGUGUUUAAAGUAUUGUAUUUAAUGAUUUUUUUCCCUCCACAUUUUGCAACAUUGGUCUGAAAUUAUGAAUGCAUAAUUAGUUUUGUUUAAAAUUUAUAUAUUAGUAUAUAUGUGUUUGUAUUAAUGGCUAUACAGGUGUUGAAUUGUAAUACCCAAGCCAUAAGUAAAAGAUCAGCAUUUCUUUUUUCUAUAUAUAUUUGCUUAUUGUAGCUGUAACAAGUUUAUUUUUAAACAAUAAAUAUGAUGUUAUGUGUUUCCUUUGGCUACUCUCCACACACAUCACACAAAUACUGUAACUGUUUGCUCAAAAAAAAGAUUUUUACACAACGUUCUCAAAUAUAUUUUUCUGAAUUUGCUGUUUGUUUUUAUUAUGAAAAUUUUGGGUUCGUUCACUUGAAAAAUCUUUAAAUGUUUGUAAAUUAAUUUUUUAAAUCCAUGUUUUGACAUUGACUGUCCUGACACUGAGUGUACCAUGUCUGUAAGUGUAUGGGUGGUGAAACCGAUUGUUGAUCAUCGUAUGCAUCUACUGGCUGCAAAGACAGUAAACGGUGUCUGUCAACGUUUCUCCAACUUCCGGAAAUGUUUUUGUUUAAAUCUGAUCUUGGAUGAAUAUCAAAAAAAAAUAGCAUAAUAUUUUGAAGAAAAACAGUACGAGAAAUUAAAAUUAUUUAUUUUUUGUAAGUACAUGUAUCUGAGUUUUAAAAGGACAUCUUGUUCAUCACAAAGUGACUAUCAUAAUUUUAUUUAUUUUUCUGAAAAUGAUGUAGCUAAUUGUAAGCCUUUGGAUAUUUUUUCAGCUAAGUUUCCCUGCAUCAUCCUGUUACAAAAAAAUCGUUUUGACUUUUGUGAUUUGGUUUUGUGUAGUAUUUUGCCCAGAGUUAUGUUGCUGUGUACAGGAGGUUUAACAUGCUUUUCAAUUUCAUCUGCAUUUAGUUAUACCUGGCUUCAAUAACUGACUAACACAUCCAAGUUUGUAAGUCACAAUUUAAAAAAAAACCCAGAGGAAUUUCUUUAAAACUGUCACAAAACAUGUGCUGAGGGUCCAUAUGAUGAUCUUUGGUGAGGGUCGCCAUGGUGAUCUUUGGUGAGGGUCGCCAUGGUGAUCUUAGUUGAGGGUCACCUUGGUGAUCUUUGGUGAGGGUCGCCAUGGUGAUCGUAGUUGAGGGUCUCUUUGGUGAGGGUCGGCAUAGUGAUCUUUGGUGAGGGUCACACUGGUGAUCUUUGUGAGGUUCCCAAUAGUGACUAUCAUGACUUUUUUGCUGGUGAUCUAUGUGAGGGCCCUGUUGUUGCCCUUUGUUGGAUUCUGAUAGUGACCCUCAUGAUGGUGAUCGUUGUUGGUCUUGGAAUGUUUACAUUUUGUUUGUCUCUGAUUCAAAGUCUAAAUUUGUCAGUAUGUUGUAGAAACUUGAUAUUACGUGAUGUUGUAUACAGUGUGUUAUAUAUGUGUAUUAAAGUGAUAUAGAUCUGUUAAUGAAGUACGAUUUAUCUUUUGAGAAGAUUUUUUACCAGUGUGUGUACAAGGUAAUCAUAAAAUAUUUCUCACAGGAUAUCUCAUUUCAACUAAAUGAUAACCAGGUUAAAUGUUCUUUGGUCAGUUUUAUGAAACAAAAAAGUGCUGUUUUUAUUGAAGUGUUUUAUAUUUUGUAUAUUUAUUUAAUGACUAUAAACCAGAUGAAGAGAUUGACAUGGGUGGUGAUUUCUAUUUUUUUUUUUUAAACCCCAAUCUGACCAAUUAUAAAAUGUGGCAUGCAGUUUUUUCACGGUCACAGUCAUGUCUACUGUUAUGGCUGGAAUAUAUACAUUUCCAUGUGUAUACGUAAAACGAUUUUUUGGCACUUGGUAUUUAGUUAAAUAUCCGAGAACAUUUCAAUGUCAUUGUUUGAAGACUGAAGAUCUGAUUGUGGUGUUGAUGAAGUAUAUCUAUAUUUAAUGUCAUUUUCGAAAAUUCCGAAUUUCAUUAACAUGAAAUAAGAGUAUAUUAAGCACAGCAUCUUUUUCCAUAAUAUGUGUUACACCUUGAUUAAGAACAGAUUGAAAUCUAGAGAAAAUCGGAGUCAAACUAUACACAACGUGCUUUGCAACCAUUGAAAUCAAGACCAUCAUUUUACCAGUAUAAUGUUAACCCAUAUGAGGGCUUGCUUUGGGCUGAAGUGUAUGAUGGUAUAAGGAAUUAUUUUACUUUGUACAGAUUAUCAGAAUUUUCUUUAUCUUUAAAUGAUAACUGCUUUAAUAUAUAUUUUUGUGUAUGUUGAUUUUGUGUUAAGGGAUAUAAUUUAUACAUAUUGUCAACACAAGACUUUGGCAUACAUGUUGAACAUAACAAUCUGGUACACAUGCAUUUAUUUUCAUUAAACAAAUCAAAACAAAAAAAUGUUUGAUGCACAAUAUGUACACACUAUCAAAACAUUCAAUAAGCUUAUACUUUGGUUGAUGCACAAUAAGUACACACUAUCAAAACAUUCAAUAAGCUUAUAAUUUGAUUGAUGCACAAUAAGUACACACUAUUGUAACAUUCAAUAAGCUUAUACUUUGAUUGAUGCACAAUAAGAACACACUAUCAAAACA